rfam:Schistosoma rodhaini strain Burundi genome assembly, scaffold: SROB_scaffold0001760
GCACUGCUGAGGAGUCCCUCAAUAGGACGAAACGGCCGUCCAGUGC